AAUUGUUUGGUUUUAGGUAGAUCUGCAUAACAAAAAUGAAUCUUUGCCUGCAUCUCAGGUAGUUUUCCUUAAAAUUUUUAAUACCUAACUUCAAUGCAUCUAAAGAUUUACCACUAGUGCUUUGGGGACACAUGCUGAAGAAAAGCGAUGUCAAAAGGCUUGGGUUAGAGUCCUGGCUACACUGCUUAAAAGCUGUAGGUCCCUAAGCAAGUUGUUAAACUUUAGCUCAGUUUCUUAGCCUCGGUUUCUUUAUUUAUAAAAUGUGGGUCAUAAUACCUACACGCAGGAUGCAAAGUGUAAAUCAAACUAUAAUGAAUAAUAUAUGUGAAAGACCCUUACAAGCUAUAAAACAUUUUACAAACACUGGUAAUAAGUAGACAAAAUUCUCAACAUACUAAGGUUUAAACUCUUAUACGCCCUCCCUUUCUCCCCUUUCAGUUUAUCUCUUCUCUCUCUGGUACCUCCUUCCACAUCUCCAGUCUCCCUCCACAGACAUCUGGCACUAAAUAUCUCUCCUGCAGCAUGGUGGCACCCACAUUAGGCCUUCUUUUAGGAGGUGUGGAAACAACUCACCCAUUUUCUCCCUGAUACAAAACGUGCUUUUGACUUGCCAUACAAUUUAAGGUAAUUUAAUUUACCUCUCCAAGAUAUUUGAACUUUAACAGCAGAUCAAUGCCUGAACCCAAAGGAAUGACUCUCUAGGAACCAUAGUCAUCAGUAACAAGCUGGUAGGAAAGGUAUUUGGGGUCCAGGGUCCAUCCCUGGGUAUUUCACCUACCCUGCCUACAGGUAAGGCUGUGUGGGUUCCGGAGUCUUCAUUUCUGUCUGUGAUAAAGAGGGGGUCUCGGGCACAGAACAUGAAUUUGAAUGGAUAUGUUACAGAAAUUUCAUUUCCACAGAGCUAUUACAGUAAGAUUAAGGAUGCCAUGGUUUUUCCUUAAAGUGAGCCUAAAUCUCUCUCCCUGAAAACUACAUCUUAUUUUGCCCUCUGGAAGGACACAGAAGUGUCCAGAUUUCAUGUAAAAGUCCUUCAGAUACUAAAAAGGGGCUGUCCUGCCCCCCCCCCCCCACUUUUCCCUGGGCCCAUCAUGCCCAUUAUAUCCUCUGCCUCAUGCUUACUGCCUUAUUCACAUUCUCAGCACGGGCUGUUCUCUUAGAGUGUGGCUCCCAGAACAGAACAAGGUACCUCAGGUACAGUCCACUAUGGGUUAUCAAGGUUUGAAUCUCCAGUGAAUCUGAAGAAUUCCAGGAAGGAAUUUUUCCACACAAGGAUGGGGUAUCUUUUCAGGUCUCUUUCCUUUCCUGUAAAUAACUCAGAUACCGGCCUGAAUCAAUUAUGUAUCAAGACUGUUGUGCUAUAAAUAAAAUCUUCCUUCCAUUGUUCUAGCAGAGUCUAGAGUUUGCACACAUGUUAAAGUAGAAUAGUUAUAAAUAAAAUACUAUAUGUUUCUA